rnacentral:misc_RNA from 1 species
UAAUAAGUGUUUUAUGGCACUUUUUAAAUCCACAUCCACCUUGUGUGCAAUGUCAGUCGAUCUUCUUCAUGGAGAUCGACCAAACAUCAACCUUUAUCUUUUAACUCUUUGUCUGAAAAAUAUUAUGAAUAAACAAUUCAAAAUA